rnacentral:siRNA from 1 species
AACAGUUGUGAUUAGAAGUGUCU